rnacentral:rRNA from 1 species
UACAGAGGGUGCAAGCGUUGUUCGGAAUUAUUGGGCGUAAAGAGCUCGUAGGCGGCCUGUCGCGUCGGUUGUGAAAGCCCGGGGCUUAACCCCGGGUCUGCAGUCGAUACGGGCAGGCUAGAGUUCGGUAGGGGAGAUCGGAAUUCCUGGUGUAGCGGUGAAAUGCGCAGAUAUCAGGAGGAACACCGGUGGCGAAGGCGGAUCUCUGGGCCGAUACUGACGCUGAGGAGCGAAAGCGUGGGGAGCGAACAGG